GCGGUACCGGUUCACGCCCCGCGUUAGCAGUGCUAGCCCAGGGGGACGACCCCCUGGACCCCCCGGCGCGGGACGACCCGGCGACC
ncrna:unclassified sequences L31-Actinobacteria ribosomal protein leader